GGCGAAACCCAACUGAAUGGCCGCGGUAACUCUGACCGUGAUAAUGUAGCACAAUAAAUAGCCAAUUAAUUGUUGGCGGGUAUGAAUGGAACCACGAGGGUCUUACUGUCUCAAGAGGAAAGCCGAUGAAAUUAUAGUUGUAGUGAAGAUACUACAUAAACAUUGUAAGACGAAAAGACCCUAUCGAGCUUUACUGGAUACCGAUAGCGUUAGCUUAAAAUGAUCGAUACUAAGUAUCCUAAUUCUAAGUUAAUAAAUUUUGUUGGUAGGACAGUUUAGUUGGGGCGACUACCUUUGAAUAAGAAACGAAGGCGAGCUUAUGGUAUUAUUAAAAUCUCAUUAGCCUCACAGUGAGGGGGACAUCCCUAGCUGGCACAAGGACUUCCACAUAAGGUACUAUGUACUCUGUACUCUGUAUUUAUAGUGGGUUCCUAUGUGGGCGAUAAUGACCCGAUAUGAUUAUCCAAAAUAAAUAUCGAAAGCGGAUAAAAGCUACCGUAGGGAUAACAGCGU
rnacentral:rRNA from 1 species